rnacentral:misc_RNA from 1 species
AACAUGAUGCAGUCGAUAUGAACAGUUGUCCUGGUGGCAAGACUGCUGUCUGGGGCCACCGGAAGAAUGCAUUCUGCUAUGAUCACCUUCCCAUUUGGUGGCAGCGCUUUGUAACUAUUCUUCAAGAAUUUUAAGCAGUGUUCAUCGCUCCAGUCAUGGCAUAUCCACUUCAUGAAAAUGGCAUCUCCUUUAGGAACGCUAACAAACAUGUCUCCACCAACAUGCUCUACGCCAGGAAGGGAUGGAGCAU